AUUGAACGCUGGCGGCAGGCUUAACACAUGCAAGUCGAGCGGGGUGAUGGUGCUUGCACUAUCACUUAGCGGCGGACGGGUGAGUAAUGCUUAGGAAUCUGCCUAUUAGUGGGGGAUAACAUCUCGAAAGGGAUGCUAAUACCGCAUACGUACUACGGGAGAAAGCAGGGGAUCACUUGUGACCUUGCGCUAAUAGAUGAGCCUAAGUCGGAUUAGCUAGUUGGUGGGGUAAAGGCCUACCAAGGCGACGAUCUGUAGCGGGUCUGAGAGGAGGAUCCGCCACACUGGGACUGAGACACGGCCCAGACUCCUACGGGAGGCAGCAGUGGGGAAUAUUGGACAUUGGGGGGAACCCUGAUCCAGCCAUGCCGCGUGUGUGAAGAAGGCCUUAUGGUUGUAAAGCACUUUAAGCGAGGAGGAGGCUCUUUUGGUUAAUACCCAAGAUGAGUGGACGUUACUCGCAGAAUAAGCACCGGCUAACUCUGUGCCAGCAGCCGCGGUAA
rnacentral:rRNA from 1 species